rnacentral:rRNA from 1 species
GAUGAACGCUGGCGGCGUGCCUAAUACAUGCAAGUCGAGCGAACAGACGAGGAGCUUGCUCCUCUGACGUUAGCGGCGGACGGGUGAGUAACACGUGGAUAACCUACCUAUAAUACUUGGAUAACUUCGGGAAACCGGAGCUAAUACCGGAUAAUAUAUUGAACCGCAUGGUUCAAUAGUGAAAGACGGUUUUGCUGUCACUUAUAGAUUGAUCCGCGCCGCAUUAGCUAGUUGGUAAGGUAACGGCUUACCAAGGCAACGAUGCGUAGCCGACCUGAGAGGGUGAUCGGCCACACUGGAACUGAGACACGGUCCAGACUCCUACGGGAGGCAGCAGUAGGGAAUCUUCCGCAAUGGGCGAAAGCCUGACGGAGCAACGCCGCGUGAGUGAUGAAGGUCUUCGGAUCGUAAAACUCUGUUAUUAGGGAAGAACAAAUGUGUAAGUAACUAUGCACGUCUUGACGGUACCUAAUCAGAAAGCCACGGCUAACUACGUG